rnacentral:rRNA from 1 species
UACAGAGGUCCCGAGCGUUAGGCGGAAUCACUGGGCUUAAAGCGUGUGUAGGCGGAUCGUUAAGUGCCUUGUGAAAUCCCAUGGCUUAACCAUGGAACUGCUGGGCAUACUGGCGAUCUUGAGCCACUUAGGGGCUACCGGAACAAAUGGUGGAGCGGUGAAAUGCGUAGAUAUCAUUUGGAACGCCAAUGGUGAAAACAGGUAGCUGGGAGUGUGCUGACGCUGAGACACGAAAGCCAGGGGAGCGAACGGG